rnacentral:snoRNA from 1 species
UUUACAUGAUGAAAAAAGAAAACAGCGAUGCUUUAACUUAAGUUUCUUUUAGGUAUCUAAAAGGUUAAAAAGCAGAGCGAAAUGAGCGUCAAAAGCGAGUAGUUUUCAAUCUGAUAAAA